CUUUAAUCUUGUUAUUUUUAGUAGUUUUGUUAUGUGAUAAUGCGUUGUUUUUUUCGUUACAUAGUUUGUUUUGGUUUGAUUAGUGGUAAUUUGUUGCCUUAGUAGUGCUUAAAUUUCAUCAAUAAUUUGAGAUAGAUAUCAUUCUCUUGUCCUCGCUAAUUAUGAGCUUAGCCUGAAUAGUAGUGGUUUGUAUGAACUAAGUGUGUGUGCCUGGAUAAUGUUCCUGAUAUUGCUCCAUCGGUGAAGAGGUAUAAACUGAGGUGUGCUUUAUUAGAUGCUAAGGCCCUUGCUUAGUUGUCCAUCCUUUAAACAUAAUGAAAUAUAGUUAUAUGAUUGACAUUAGUGACUUUAGUAACCUUCUAGAUUAAUGCUAAUCCUGUUAACAAGUAUGAGAUUACUAGAAAAUUGCAAUGAUCCAAGUUGAAUAGUUUAAGGUCUUAAUGAGGAUUGAACAAGUUCACUUUGGAAGUAUACUUGAAUACAGAGGUUUAGUUCUAGUUAUUUAGAGGACACAAAGGUCAUUACAUGACUAUUUGAGCAUUAACUUGUAUUGCAGGACUUGUUGAAGAGACUGAUUAGCUUUAGGUGCCUAUAUGACAUGUUUAUUAGAUCACUAUUUGACUAUUUUUCCUCUUAAUGUAGUGAUACUUUUUUGUAAAGUCCAAUGGCUUAAACAAACUUCCGGAUGUUGUUAUAUGACCCUUGUCUUGGACUUUGAGUGUGUCUGUAGCUCUUACAUGUCUAGCUUGUGCUCCUUUUCUUCCUAAGCUGUGAUACUAUGAUACUUUAAACAUGUAUCCCUAAAUUGGAAGCAUCUUAACUCUACACAUGAUAAUCUAUGUAUGAAAUGCUCUGUCUAUUCUUAAUAUAUGUUGAUACUAAGUUAUUGUCUAAUGUGAAGUCUUGGCACUUUCUGUAAUUUGCCUUUGUACUUACUAAUUUGGUGGGAUCAUGAUGUGUAAUAGCUCAUUGUUUUGAUGACAAGCAUGACUAAGGUGGGGUUAAUAAGUGAGAAUUGAUUAAGCUAAGAAAAGCAUGCUAUAUUUAGUGUAUGCAGGAAUUCCAUGUCCAAUUCAAAGAUCUGCCGAACUUUAUUUAAAAACUGAAGAUAAACCAAUCUGAAAAUGGAAUAUUGAGAUUACUGAUGUCUUGUUAGGAGGCUAUAAAAGCUUAAGACCUCAAUUUGACCAUGACCUUUAGGUUGAACUUGACUAGAGAAGUUAGUUGGCCUUGUUAUUGAAACUUAGGUUGGUUGAUUGAUAGGAAAAUGGAACCAGGGAGUGUGUAUUAAUGAGUUUUAAGUCACAUGAGUUGAGAAAGUCUUUUAAAGGCACCUUGGAGUAGGGAUUGGGAAGAACCAAGAUCAAACUUGGUUCAUAGUACCUUUCCCUCAAAUAAAGGGUGCCAUGGAAUGCCUCGAGGGUCUGUGGGGCAUAUGCUCACUAUGCAUGCCUUCCUGAUUCCCAUUCUUAUAAAUAAACCAAGGAAAAAGAGGGUAAGUUUGAAACUAUUUUGUGUAAGUUGUGUUUGAUAAAGCUUAAUAGAUGAAUUGUGUGUAAAUGGAUUGAUUUUGGACUAGAAGAAAGGGAUAUAAUCAAGAAUGGAGUUUGGAUGCUAAAUUGAUUCAGGGAGAGAAUAAAAGACCAAGAGAUCAUGGAGACUCCUUAAAAUCCCUCAUGCUGGUUGUCUUCCUUUUUUGAGAUAAUGAUAGUACUUAAGUACAUAAUUGUUUUGCUUAUUUCCUUCAUAUUUCAUUGCAAUCACAGCAUGCUUGAAGUUCUGAAUCAUCAUCUGUACAUCUUUUCCAUUCAUUUUGUCACGCCCCGAACCAUGGUCUGGGCGUAACACGACACUCGGGCCUUGCUUGCAUGUGUCCGAGCGAACCUCAUGGCUUGCUUGUCAACAUGGGCAUCAAAACAAUAUACUCUAUAUGAUGCAAUUUCAAUGAAUCAUGAAAAUGUAAUUUGCGGAAUAAAGUCUUGAAAUUAUCUCAUAGCGUGAAAAAUCAUGAAAACGUAAUAGUCUGCAAGCAUGAAAACAUAACUGACUCUGUGAACUAACAUAUGUCUAUGAAACCUCUAAAACAUGUCUGAAUACUAACUACCAGGACAUGGCCCUGGACUACCAUAACUGAAUACUAAUGCAAACUUCAUGUUGAAUCCCGAGAGGAGUAGGGCUCACCAAUAAGCUGAUAACUGAGGUGAUCCUGCUGCGCAGGUGUAUGCUCCUGAAAACCCGUAUUUGCACCGUGAAGCGCAUGCCCCGGGGAAAAUGGACGUUAGUACAUGGUGAAUAGUACUAGUAUGUAAAACCUGCUGAAACGAAGAACAUGGUACAACAUAGGUAUAGGACAUGAACUGAAACUGAAUGUAACUUGAACAUGAGCAUAAAACGUGAGUAAAGUCUGAAAACAGUAAAUCAAUGGAAAUACAUGUAUAUAAAACUGCCUGUAACGUGGGGAAUACUAUAGUAUAACCGACAACAUGAUCUGGUACUUGCGUCCUACCAGCAGAACACUCACACCUUGCCAGGGAUAUGAGAUUUAAGUAAUAAUAAGCAUGUAAGGAUCCAAACUGCAUAAUGAAGGUGUUGCCUCCUUGCUGACAACCCUUAUCCUACGGUGGCUACGUAGUUUCAGGCUAUCUGAGCCUUCUCGGUUAACUAUAGUUGGCUAAGAAGCCUAUGAUUUUCGUGAAAUAACUUGUAAAUAACUUGUAACAUGGUUUCGUGAAAUAUCUUGUAAUAUGGUUUCAUGAGAUAACUUGUCAUAAUCUUGUAAACAUGUUCUUGAUUCAUGGGUAAUAACAACAGUUCAUAAUUGUAUAUAUAAUUGACUUGAAAACAUGCUUGUAACUUGCUAGAUAAAAUCAUAAAGUUUCAUAUAAACAUAAUGAGAACACAUGAGGAAGAAUUCAUGAUUCAUGGAUUAAGCUAGGGUUCCUAAUAACCGUAAUGGAAGAUUAGGAAUACAAUAACGAAUAUAGAUACAAAAUUCAUGUACAUAAAUACAUAAACACGGGCUGCCAAUAUGUUGGUUUUAAUGCUCUAGGAUUUGAACUUCAUGGAUAUCAAGAAACGGAGCAUGAGGAAGAACGUAGAGACUCCCACAUGUGGAUGGAAGUUCAACAUGCCUUAAUUGCUCCAAAACUUGAAUUAAAGACUUGAAUUUUGGAGAAGAUUUCCUAAAUCUUGAUUCUUGAACCUUGAGAUGGGUUUUCUUGAAAACCCUAGAUUAGGAAGAAUGAUUUCUUGCUUAGAUUAUUAGAGUAUAUGUUACAAUUGAGUUGGAAUAAUUAGAGUAGGCUUACCUUGGUGUUCUUGAUGAUGGAGGAAGGUAGGAGGCCGUUCUAUGGCUUGAAGGAAUGAAAAAUAAUGAUUUGAACUGAUAUGGACGAAUAUAUACUGUUCUGGAAAAUUAAAUUUUACACUCAAUUAAAUAUUGGCCGUAUUUUGAAAUACGGUCCGUAUUCCAUAUGGACUGCACUGCGUCUCUUCAGUAAAAUGGUCAUAACUAUUUGCACAGAUAUCCGUUUGACCCUCAUAAUAUACCGUUGGAAAGGUAUUUCAAAGCUGUACAACUUUCAUCAAGGAAGUUUUCCCAAAUUCCAAAUACAUUUUGAAAUACGGGCCGUAUUUUGAAAUACGGUUCGUAUUUAACGAUGUAACCUCUAAGUGUCAAAUUCCAGAAUGCUCAGAAAUAUUUGGUACCAGUUUACGACUUGAAAUACGGGUCGUAUACUGAAAUACGAUCACUGUUCAUGAGCGUAAACCACCAUCUUACAACUGAAGAGGAAAUUUCAAAUUCCCACAUUCUUUAUCUGGUUUUCUAAGUCUAGGAUCAUGGUCCAAGCUUAGGUUAAAGGUACGGGGUGUUAUACAUUUAAUCUUGAUUGAGACCUCAAAGGUUAUCUCUGUGACAUUCCUCAAAAACCGAAGUCUGAUUGCAUUCUAUUACUGUCAAACUGCCUCUAUCUAUUCAUGUUAUAAGCCCCCAUGAUCUUGGGUAUUGUUGCUAAAUGCCUGCUUUGGUUCAAAUAUGACAUUGUUUCUGUGUUGAGUCCAUUAGACGGUUCCUAAGCUUGACAAGUACGAAUUUUUGUGAUUAAUCAAUAUGUGAAAGCCCCUCCCCAUAGUCUCCCCUCUUUUUCCCUGCCAUAAAGUUUGUUUACCUUGUAUAUAUGUGCCCAUUUCCACUUCUGCUAGGAGGGAGUAAUUUGUCAAGUUUGAAGGUCUGCAUGAACCCCUACAUUGUCUGAAUAUGCUUGAAAAAUUGACACCUGAUCCUAUAAAAUUAGUUAGCAUUGCAUGAAAAGGGGAUAAAGAUUAAGUAAAGAGUAGAUCUUAACCUUGAAGCCAUAGGAACUGAAUUAUCUAGACCAUAAGAAUCAUUCAGGAUCUUUGCAUUCAUGGUAUAACUGAUCACUUACCCUAUGCUAUAUCAUUCAAAUUAAAUCAUAAUCAAAUCUGUGUAUGCAUUGUGUCUUUCUCCCAAAUUUCGCUAAGGCAUGAUGAUUGCUGUUAUGAUUCUGAUUAUUUAAACCUGCCUAUGUCUUGUCCAGCCUGUGAUGCUUGUUUGAACCAAAGACCCUACAUUUUGUAUUGGAAUUAACUUAAAUUUCAAGCAUGUUAGCCUACUAGUUAACAGAAUUACAUUAAGUAUUAGUAUAUCCCUAUAUUUGUCAUAAUAAGUUGCUAAAUCUGAACCUAGUGACUGAACUUGUGUGUUAGGAAUGACUCUAACUUGGUUUUGGGAAUAACACAUUUGAUCUACUAAUGGUAAGUAUGGGAAUAGAACUUUCUUAAAAGUUAGACAUACAUAGGAUAUACAUUAAGUUACCAAGAAAAAAGGAGGGUAUAUAUUAGAUAUACAUUAGAUAUACACUAGAUAUACACUGAAUAUAUACUUGGAUUGGGUUUUGUUUGGAAAGAGAAUGGGCCUAGCCCAAUAAGGAUAGUGUGCCUUCUCUGUUAGAGCCCAGAAAUAAAGAAGGCUUGAAUAUAUUUUGCUUUUGUUAUUAGGGCUCAAUAUUGUACAUUUGUAUGUAUAUCGUUCUGUCUGUAACCUGUGCAUGUAUAUAUGCAUAUAUAUCUUGUAUAAGUAUAAUUAAUUAUGUGAAAAGUUCAGUAAAUAUAAACUAACCAGGUCCCCCUUUUUCUCCUCCUCACUUCACGGCCAUUUGGGCCAAAACCAGCCUACCAGUUGGGCCAAAGGCCCUGUUACAAUUCGAGUCCGAAGAAGAAUAAGAAAGGGAAGCAAGUAUUGUACGCGUAGAAGGCCCAGCCAUGGGUGAAAAUGACCAACUAGGUGCUUGAUUUCGAUCACUCAGAGGCUCUACGCAAAGGAAAGGCAUUGGUUUGAUCGUUUGUGGCACCCGCUCGGCAUUGAGAGUACGAUUCAGGUUCCAGUUCUACACCUCGUGGCUGAUACGCGGGGGUGGCAUCUUUCAGUCAUUCAGGGUGAGCUACUUGGUCAUCCGUGGCCCCUGAAGGACCUCCUCUAUUUAUUUCUGUUUUUGUAUUCGACAGACAAUAUGUAGCCUUCGGGUAUUUUCAGACUUAUAUUCCGUACUAUGUUAGUGCUCUUGUACCCUUUGAUCAGAUUUUGGGGUUGUCGUGACAUUUCUAGUUUUGAUAAGUAUUUAAUACGUGAUAACUUAUUUUUAUUUAAUUUUCCGCUUA